UAGGUGAACNUGCGGAAGGAUCAUUAUNGAAUAUGAUUCGAAGAGGUAGAGAGACUGUCGCUGGCCAGAUCUUGGCAUGUGCACGUCCCCUCACCUUUUCUAUCUACACACACCUGUGCACCUAUUGUAGAUCCCUUUCGAAAGAGAGGGAACUAUGUUUUCAUCACAUCACACACAAUGUAUGUCUAGAAUGUUAAAACAAAAUAUAUACAACUUUCAGCAACGGAUCUCUUGGCUCUCGCAUCGAUGAAGAACGCAGCGAAUUGCGAUAAGUAAUGUGAAUUGCAGAUUUCCAGUGAAUCAUCGAAUCUUUGAACGCACCUUGCGCUCCUUGGUAUUCCGAGGAGCAUGCCUGUUUGAGUGUCAUAAAAUUCUCAACCAUUCUCUCUUGAUGGAGAGUAUGGCUUGGACUUGGGGGUUGCUGGCAGGACUGUCAGCUCUCCUUAAAUGCAUUAGCAAUCGAGUUGGCUAGUCUUUUGACGUACACGGCCUCGGACGUGAUAAUGAUCGUCGUGGCUGGAGCGUCUUUCCUAGACUAUGUACAUAGAUCGCUUCUAAUCUGUUGUCUAUCGAGCUUAGCUACUAGGCAGUCUUUUUGGCUGGCGAACGCAAGCGAGACAUUCACAUUCUCAGAGACUUGACCUCAAAUCAGGUAGGACUACCCGCUGAACUUAAGCAUAUCAAUAAGCGGAGGAAAAGAAACUAACAAGGAUUCCCCUAGUAACUGCGAGUGAAGAGGGAAAAGCUCAAAUUUUGAAUCUGGCGGUCAUUUCGGCCGUCCGAGUUGUAAUCUAGAGAAGCGUCUUCCGCG
rnacentral:rRNA from 1 species